rnacentral:rRNA from 1 species
CAAUAGCGUAUAUUAAAGCUGGUGCGGUUAAAAAGCUCGUAGUUGGAUUUCUGUCAAGGACAACUGGUCCGCCCUCCGGGUGAGCACAUAGUUUGGUCUUGGCAUCUUGCUGGAAACUGUUGCUGCGCUUGGUUGUGUGGUGCAGCUUUCAGCGCUUUCACUUUGAGGAAAUUGGAGUGUUUCAAGCAGGCACAUGCCUUUGGACACAGUAGCAUGGAAUAAUUAGAUUGGGCUUUUGCUCCAACUUGUUGGUUCCUGGAGCUGAGGUGAGAAUCAAUGGGGAUUGUUGGGGGCAUCCGAAUUUAGCCGUCAGAGGUGAAAUUCUUGGAUCUGCUAAAGACGGACAACUGCGAAAGCGUUUGCCCAGGAUGUUUUCAUUGA